AGCGAACGCUGGCGGCGUACUUAACACAUGCAAGUCGAACGGGGAUUGUUGCGUGAGCAAUCGCGCUGUGGUCCUAGUGGCGUACGGGUGAGUAACACGUGGGUAACCUGCCCUCGGAGACCGGGAUACCCUCUCGAAAGGGAGGCUAAUACCGGAUACGUUCCCUGGACCGAAAGAUUUGGGGAGGAAAGGUGGCGUAAGCUGCCGCUCUUGGAGGGGCUCGCGGCCUAUCAGCUAGUUGGNGGGGUAAUUGCCUACCAAGGCGACGACGGGUAGCCGG
rnacentral:rRNA from 1 species